AUUGAACGCUGGCGGAAUGCUUUACACAUGCAAGUCGAACGGCAGCACGGACUUCGGUCUGGUGGCGAGUGGCGAACGGGUGAGUAAUGUAUCGGAACGUGCCCAGUCGUGGGGGAUAACGUAGUGAAAAUUACGCUAAUACCGCAUACGAUCUAUGGAUGAAAGCGGGGGAUCGCAAGACCUCGCGCGAUUGGAGCGGCCGAUAUCAGAGUAGGUAGUUGGUGGGGUAAAGGCCCACCAAGCCAACGAUCUGUAGCUGGUCUGAGCGGACGACCAGCCACACUGGAACUGGGACACGGUCCAGACUCCUACGGGAGGCAGCAGUGGGGAAUUUUGGACAAUGGGCGAAAGCCUGAUCCAGCCAUUCCGCGUGCAGGAUGAAGGCCCUCGGGUUGUAAACUGCUUUUGUACAGAACGAAAAGGUUUCUACUAAUACUAGGAGCUCAUGACGGUACUGUAAGAAUAAGCACCGGCUAACUACGUGCCAGCCGCCGCCGUAA
rnacentral:rRNA from 1 species